UCAACUGUAAGAGGUGGGGCAGAAAGAGUAUAAGACAGGACUGCAAGGGGCAGAGAGACACUCGUCUUCUACUGAGGUCCAGAAGACAUCAAGACAACCAGGUAUCAAUCAGUCAGCAUAUUCCAACUAUCAGAGUAAAGGAUGAAGAUCCAGAGUAUGUUACUGCUGUUCGCUCUAGUGGGUGUCCUUUUAGCAAGCUCCCUCAAUGAAGAUAACGCUAAGGAAGAGGAUAGUGCCAUGGAGAAGGUGGAGAAUGGACUUGUGAAUGCCAUUGCAGAAGAUGAAGCACAACCAUCAUGGUUCAGACAUCAUCAUGGAUGAUGAGGUACCAGAAUGGGGUCACGGACGAUUCUUUACUGGUCUCCAUAUGGAAUCAACAUAACUAACAUUACUCUACAAAGCCCCCCAUUCAUCCAUUCAUGAUGGCAAUGUUGUAUUGUGAUCCUCCAAUAAAAUCGGCCUUUCACACAUA